CACAGGUUUACCUGUGUGACUGCGUACCUUUUGUAUAAUGGGUCAGCGACUUAUAUUCUGUAGCAAGGUUAACCGAAUAGGGGAGCCGGAGGGAAACCGAGUCUUAAUUGGGCGUUAAGUUGCAGGGUAUAGACCCGAAACCCGGUGAUCUAGCCAUGGGCAGGUUGAAGGUUGGGUAACACUAACUGGAGGACCGAACCGACUAAUGUUGAAAAAUUAGCGGAUGACCUGUGGCUGGGGGUGAAAGGCCAAUCAAACCGGGAGAUAGCUGGUUCUCCCCGAAAGCUAUUUAGGUAGCGCCUCGUGAAUUCAUCUCCGGGGGUAGAGCACUGUUUCGGCUAGGGGGCCAUCCCGGCUUACCAACCCGAUGCAAACUGCGAAUACCGGAGAAUGUUAUCACGGGAGACACACGGCGGGUGCUAACGUCCGUCGUGAAGAGGGAAACAACCCAGACCGCCAGCUAAGGUCCCAAAGUCAUGGUUAAGUGGGAAACGAUGUGGGAAGGCCCAGACAGCCAGGAUGUUGGCUUAGAAGCAGCCAUCAUUUAAAGAAAGCGUAAUAGCUCACUGGUCGAGUCGGCCUGCGCGGAAGAUGUAACGGGGCUAAACCAUGCACCGAAGCUGCGGCAGCGACACUGUGUGUUGUUGGGUAGGGGAGCGUUCUGUAAGCCUGCGAAGGUGGCCUGUGAGGGUUGCUGGAGGUAUCAGAAGUGCGAAUGCUGACAUAAGUAACGAUAAAGCGGGUGAAAAGCCCGCUCGCCGGAAGACCAAGGGUUCCUGUCCAACGUUAAUCGGGGCAGGGUGAGUCGACCCCUAAGGCGAGGCCGAAAGGCGUAGUCGAUGGGAAACGGGUUAAUAUUCCCGUACUUGGUGUUACUGCGAAGGGGGGACGGAGAAGGCUAUGUUGGCCGGGCGACGGUUGUCCCGGUUUAAGCGUGUAGGUGUGUGUUCCAGGUAAAUCCGGUUCACUUUAACACUGAGGCGUGACGACGAGGCACUACGGUGCUGAAGCAACAAAUGCCCUGCUUCCAGGAAAAGCCUCUAAGCAUCAGGUAACAUCAAAUCGUACCCCAAACCGACACAGGUGGUCAGGUAGAGAAUACCAAGGCGCUUGAGAGAACUCGGGUGAAGGAACUAGGCAAAAUGGUGCCGUAACUUCGGGAGAAGGCACGCUGACACGUAGGUGAAGUGAUUUACUCAUGGAGCUGAAGUCAGUCGAAGAUACCAGCUGGCUGCAACUGUUUAUUAAAAACACAGCACUGUGCAAACACGAAAGUGGACGUAUACGGUGUGACGCCUGCCCGGUGCCGGAAGGUUAAUUGAUGGGGUCAGCGCAAGCGAAGCUCCUGAUCGAAGCCCCGGUAAACGGCGGCCGUAACUAUAACGGUCCUAAGGUAGCGAAAUUCCUUGUCGGGUAAGUUCCGACCUGCACGAAUGGCGUAAUGAUGGCCAGGCUGUCUCCACCCGAGACUCAGUGAAAUUGAACUCGCUGUGAAGAUGCAGUGUACCCGCGGCAAGACGGAAAGACCCCGUGAACCUUUACUAUAGCUUGACACUGAACAUUGAGCCUUGAUGUGUAGGAUAGGUGGGAGGCUUUGAAGUGUGGACGCCAGUCUGCAUGGAGCCGACCUUGAAAUACCACCCUUUAAUGUUUGAUGUUCUAACGUGGACCCGUUACCCGGGUUGCGGACAGUGUCUGGUGGGUAGUUUGACUGGGGCGGUCUCCUCCUAAAGAGUAACGGAGGAGCACGAAGGUUGGCUAAUCCUGGUCGGACAUCAGGAGGUUAGUGCAAUGGCAUAAGCCAGCUUGACUGCGAGCGUGACGGCGCGAGCAGGUGCGAAAGCAGGUCAUAGUGAUCCGGUGGUUCUGAAUGGAAGGGCCAUCGCUCAACGGAUAAAAGGUACUCCGGGGAUAACAGGCUGAUACCGCCCAAGAGUUCAUAUCGACGGCGGUGUUUGGCACCUCGAUGUCGGCUCAUCACAUCCUGGGGCUGAAGUAGGUCCCAAGGGUAUGGCUGUUCGCCAUUUAAAGUGGUACGCGAGCUGGGUUUAGAACGUCGUGAGACAGUUCGGUCCCUAUCUGCCGUGGGCGCUGGAGAACUGAGGGGGGCUGCUCCUAGUACGAGAGGACCGGAGUGGACGCAUCACUGGUGUUCGGGUUGUCAUGCCAAUGGCACUGCCCGGUAGCUAAAUGCGGAAGAGAUAAGUGCUGAAAGCAUCUAAGCACGAAACUUGCCCCGAG
rnacentral:rRNA from 1 species